rnacentral:rRNA from 1 species
GAUGAACGCUCGCGAUAGGCUUAACACAUGCAAGUCGAGGGGCAGCAUGGUCUUAGCUUGCUAAGACUGAUGGCGACCGGCGCACGGGUGCGUAACGCGUAUGCAACUUGCCUCACAGAGGGGGAUAACCCGUCGAAAGACGGACUAAUACCGCGUACACUCCAUCUUGGGCAUCCAAGGUAGAGGAAAUGAAAUUCGCUGUGAGAUAGGCAUGCGUCCCAUUAGCUAGUUGGUGAGGUAACGGCUCACCAAGGCGACGAUGGGUAGGGGAACUGAGAGGUUGAACCCCCACACUGGUACUGAGACACGGACCAGACUACUACGGGAGGCAGCAGUGAGGAAUGUUGGUCAAUGGGCGAGAGCCUGAACCAGCCAAGUCGCGUGAAGGAUGACUGUCUUAUGGAUUGUAAACUUCUUUUAUACGGGAAUAACAAGAGUCACGUGUGACUCCCUGCAUGUACCGUAUGAAUAAGCAUCGGCUAACUCCGUG